UACAGAGGGUGCGAGCGUUAAUCGGAUUUACUGGGCGUAAAGGGCGCGUAGGUGGUAAGGCAAGUAAGAUGUGAAAGCCCUGGGCUUAACCUGGGAAGUGCAUCUUAAACUGCCUAACUAGAGUAUGGUAGAGGGUAGUGGAAUUUCCGGUGUAGCGGUGAAAUGCGUAGAGAUCGGAAGGAACGCCAGUGGUGAAGACGACUACCUGGACCAAUACUGACACUGAGGCGUGAAAGCGUGGGGAUCAAACAGG
rnacentral:rRNA from 1 species